rnacentral:rRNA from 1 species
UACGUAGGGCGCAAGCGUUAUCCGGAAUUAUUGGGCGUAAAGAGCUCGUAGGCGGUUUGUCGCGUCUGCCGUGAAAGUCCAGGGCUCAACCCUGGAAAGCGGGUGGAUACUGCCGGGCUAGAAUCCGGAAGAGGCGAGUGGAAUUCCGUGGUGUAGCGGUGAAUGCGCAGAUAGUCAGGAGGAACACCAAUAGCGAAGGCAGCUCGCUGGGACGGUAUUGACGCUAAGGCGCGAAAGCGUGGGGAGCAAACAGG